UUGAAAUGAGUGAGAUUGUAAAUCGGCCGUGAAAUGAGUGAGAUUGUAAAUCGGCCGGCGUAAUUCAUUCAAAAGUCCGAGUUAAAAUGCGAUAUAGGGGUCAAACUAUUUGAUUUACAUUUCGAGACAUGAUUUACAUUCACAGAUGAAAUGAUAUUGUUGAAAUGAGUGAGAUUGUAAAUCGGCCGGCGUAAUUCAUUCAAAAGUCCGAGUUAAAAUGCGAUAUAUGGGUCGAACUAUUUGAUUUACAUUUCGAGACAUGAUUUACAUUUACAAAUGGCCGGCGUAAUUCAUUCAAAAGUCCGACGGCCUGUUUAAUCGGAUAUCGUCACCCUCUUAAAGUAAUGGCCUAAGUCACCUUUUUGCCAAAAUGAUUUUCUUGCCUAAAUCAGCUCUUUGUGAUGCUAGCCACCUCUGGUAAAAUCCCCAACAUCCUCAGUUGAACAGAUCAUGUGAUCCUACCCGUUUAGUGUAAUGGCCUAUGUCAAGAGUGUGAAUUAGGCCAAUUUAUUUUGCCUCUUGUCUAGUGACUCUUGUCACUAGACAAGAGUGACUUAGGCAAUUUUAUGAGCGUUUCAAGAUGGCGGCCACUUCCAAAAAAAAAAGAAAUGCACUGUUUUGCCUCACUUAUUCCAGAAUUAAUUCGGCCCAAGUCAGGUUCAAAAUUUAGUAAAUCACAAAGGCAUGUUCAUAAAUUGGCCUAAGUCAUCUUAUCCUCUUAUGUUACACAAUUGACUGACAUCAUUAUUUGUAUAUCAAUAGUAAUCUAUUGUCAUAACCUUUGUGUUUGAAAUGAUUCAUAAAUAUCAUAUACUCUAUAUAUGGUUCAGUUUUUUCUGUUUUCAGAACAACUUGAAAAUAUGACUUAGGCCAUUACUUUAAGAGGGUGACGAUAUGAUUGAUUGACUAGCGAUUAUUUGUUUCGUAUGUAUGAUUUGGAAUAGUUAAUUGUCAUCUACAAACGACU
rnacentral:lncRNA from 1 species